rnacentral:rRNA from 1 species
UACGUAGGUCACAAGCGUUAUCCGGAAUUAUUGGGCGUAAAGGGUUUUUAGGUGGUAAUGCGGGUCUUUGGUGAAAUCCCCAAGCUCAACUUGGGUUUCGCCAAAGAAACUACAUUGCUUGAGGGUAGCAGGGGCACAUGGAAUACCCGGUGUAGCAGUGAAAUGCGUUGAUAUCAGAUAGAACACCAAUGGCGAAGGCAGUUACCUGGCUCAAAACUGACGCUAAAGCACGAAAGUGUGGGGAGCAAACAGG